rnacentral:rRNA from 1 species
UACGUAGGGUGCAAGCGUUAAUCGGAAUUACUGGGCGUAAAGCGUGCGCAGGCGGUUAUGCAAGACAGAUGUGAAAUCCCCGGGCUCAACCUGGGAACUGCAUUGGUGACUGCAUUGCUGGAGUAUGGCAGAGGGGGGGUGGAAUUCCACGUGUAGCAGUGAAAUGCGUAGAUAUCCGGAGGAACACCGGUGGCGAAGGCGGCUUCCUGGACCAACACUGACACUGAGGAGCGAAAGCCAGGGAGCAAAGCGGG